GGUGGUUCUCGGGUGACGUACCCUGGAAUCAGGCUCCCUCCUCUCUGGUUCCAGUGCAUCACCCGAGAACCACA
rfam:Myotis lucifugus cont2.8881, whole genome shotgun sequence.